CGGGGCGGGGCGCAGGCCCUACGCUCUCGGAUGCUCACCUGACUGCGCAUCCGCCUCGCAGGUCCCCAGGUGAGAGGCAGGAGCGCCCGAAGGAGCCUAGUCAGGGCACCUGUUCCCUGUCCUGUGUUCACCUGACUGAGCGUCCACCUCGCAGGUCCCCAGGUUGAGGAUGGAAGAACCACAAGAGAUUUCCUCCACCAAUGACAGCUGUGUAGGUGACAUAGUCAUAGAAAAAUACCUGGUUGAGUCGAAGGAGGCCGCAUCCCACGUGCAGCUUGCUUGCAGUGUGCAGCACUGUGCCUUCCCGUUAGAUGGAAACCAGCUUUGCAUAUGGAACACCGAGGACCCUUCUCACCAGCGUCUAAUCCUCAGAGGGCACCAGCAGCCAAUUACUGCUGUGGCGUUUGGAAACACAGCGAAUCCGCUUCUAAUCUGUUCCGCAUCACAAGACUGUGUUAUAAUGUGGAAACUGGAUGAAUGCAGAGAGAAAGUGCUUGAAGGGCUGACUCCUCGAGGGACGGUCAUGCGCACCCUUCUGGGGAAGGUGCUCUGUUUAAGGUUUUGUCCGGAUGAUCGGGUGGUUGCGGCAUGUGCCGGAAACAAAAUACUGGUGCUGGAUGUGGAGAGCCUGUCCACAUCAGCCGAGCUGGAGGGCCACCGGGGCCCUGUGACUGCCGCUGAGUUCUGUGCUUGGCGAGCACGAGUGCUCGUCUCGGUGUCUGAGGACAGAAGCUUUAAGGUUUGGGACCAUCGUCUGGGAUCAUUAAUAUACAGCUCAUCAGUGUUAACAGGUUCUCACGCCGUCAGUGACUCGCGGAGCCGUUUGGGUGAAUGCGCCAGGCUCUCUGCUUGGGCGGCCAUGUGUGAGCCUUGGUCCUCCUCACAGGUCAUGAGCGACACCUCCCGGGGCUUUUCAUGUGCCUCCCCUCUCCUGAGUCUGUUCAUUGAUGAAGACAGUCGGCAGCUGGUUACGGGGUCUGCCGAUGGCCAGCUUUGGAUCUUCAGUUUGGGUGAAAGUCAUCAUUAUCGUUGUGUGACACAUGUGGACCUGAAGAAAAAGACCGAGAGUUUCUCCACCAGGAGGGUUGAGUCCCAGCUCUGCAGCCUGCCAGAAGAGAGUCAGCUUCCCUCUACAGAUGGACUGGAGAGAGGAGGAGAGAUUGAAGUAGAACUUCCUGUCCUGAGUCUGGCACCCUGUGCUCUCUCGCUUGUCCCGAGUUCUGAACGUGGGUUUGUUUCUUCUGAGAAUGCCAGCUGCUUGUGGAUCGGAAGCUCAGCUGGUUUGUUCAUACUUAACUUGGCAAACUUUGAACUGGAAGCAGUUUUACGUUACAAGGAUUUUAGGAACCUCAGCAUUCAAGUUGCUGGAUCGUGUGCAGUGAUGGGCAAAACCGGGAAUCACAUGGCCUUCUGCUUGCUCACGUCCUUGUUCGGAAGUCAGGUCGCCGUGUUGGAGAUCCGCCUGGCCUGUCUGGUGAGGUCUCUGCCGCGCCCCAACGUUGGGAAGGAUCUCUCAGUGCUGCCUCGCUCUGGUGUCUUACCGACCUCUCCACUCUACUUUGCUCUUGUUGAGGAAAAAAGUACCAAGCCGGCUAGUCAAAAACAAUCGGCCGUGCGGAGUGUCGUAAAGGACCAGCCCCUGGUUUUCCACAGCAGAGUCAGGUCCUCUGGGUACACGUCUGCCCCGCAUGUAACCAUGUUUUUACCAAAGACUAAUAUCAAGAAUAAUGGUAAAAGAUCUUCAAAAUGCAAGAACAAUUACAAAUGUAAGGAGUACCCCUCAGAGAGCCCUCUGCCAACCAGACUCAGCAAGCAGCUCGCUGUAGCCAGCGACCCCACAGCCGUGUGCUGCCUUCAGUUUUCAGAUGAUGGACGGCGGCUGGCCUGUGGCCUAGCCAACCACUUGUCACUGGUCUUUGAUGCCGAUCUUUCCGGGAAACCUGCUGUUUUUUCAGGUCAUGACGGGGCAGUGAGCACCGUGUGCUGGAGCCACGACGGCAGGUGGCUGCUGUCCACGUCCCAGGACGGGACGCUGAGGGUGUGGUCGGCUCGCAGGACGGAACUCGCCUUGUGUCUGGGUGAAGGCAUGUUUCCUAGGCCCGUACAAUCCGCACAGUUUUACUACAUAGACGCCUUCAUAUUGUCGUCGUCCGGCCCUGAAUUCCAGCUGCUCAAGUACCACGUGGACACCUGCAACGACGACCUGAGAAGAUAUAAACAGAAGAGCAGGUGCAAAGCCGUGUUCAGCCUCCGCAUGACGGAUGCCGUGGAGAUGACCAGCUUCUCGGCAGUAAAUGACUUCUACUCCUACAUCGUGCUGACCGCUGGCCGGAACAGGACGUUGGAAGUUUUCGACCUCAACGUGGGCCGCAGUGCCGCCCUGAUAGCAGGAGCCCAUUCGCGGCCUGUCCACCAGAUCUGUCAAAAUAAAGGAUCGUCAUUUAUGAGCCAGCAGUCUCAGGUCUAUAAUCUUUUUGCAACUACCGCCGUUGGUGAUGGGAUGAGACUGUGGGACUUGCGGACCCUGAGGUGUGAGCGCCGUUUUGAAGGUCAUCCGAGCCGCGGCUAUCCAUGCCGGAUUGCUUUUAGCCCCUGUGGACGAUACGUGGCCUGUGGUGCUGAGGACAGACACGUGUACGUGUAUGAAAUGGGCUCCAGCACCUUUUCUCACAGGCUGGCAGGACACACGGACACAGUCACGGCAGUGGCCUUCAACCCGUCCGCCCCACAGGUCCUGUUGAGGUCACUCUUGCCCAGGAAACUGUCUCUGUGUCCUCCGUCCGGACUCACCGCGUCCUCUUCGUGGUCCGCGCACCUGUCACAGGCCUGACACUGUCACGGCACCGAUCUCGUGGGACCCCGAUGAUCAUUUCAAGUCCUGUCUCCAUUCCACUGACCCCAUCAGAGGCAGCAAGUAUUUCUUAUCGGUCUCGGCAGCUCCAGCACGGAGGACAGAGUUCAGAAGAUCUUAGAUGUUUGAAGGACGUCCGUGGAGCUUUUGGAAAUGAAGGCUGCCCACUCGCUUGGUCCCGCAUUUCUCUACUGCUGAGCCUCCAACCCAAGGACCUCCUCUGACUUUAAUCGCCAAUUCGAGAAACACUGUCUUCGCUGAAGUCUUUCGCGUGGAAACUUUAGAGCUGUAAAAUCUUAGGGAUUAGAUGCAUUGGCCUCUGUGUUUUAGAUGAAGAAGCCAACCCUUUGAAAGGAUAAGUCAAUUUGCUAAGUUACAGAACUAAUUAAAAGCAGAUUUUGGGACUAAAACUCAAUUUUCCCAACUUGCAGUCCAAACACUCUCCUUGGUCUUAACUAUUUGAAAUUACUUUUUAAUCGUGUAUCUUCAUCUUUGCUAGAAUGCCUCUUUCCAGCUCAUGCUGAAUCGUGCCCUGAAGCCGUGUGCUCCACUGGACUGCUGUGUAUCUUUAGGGCAGCUUAGGAUCAAAGCCCUUUCUGGUGAUAUAAACCCACAGUUUUCAGAAGUUUCUCUCCAACUCAGCCAUAAGCAAUUUCUUUCUCCUGGACUGUAGUAAAUAAUUAAAAUUUCCCUGUUCCUUUUAUCUUUUCUUUCCUUCUCUCUGAUCUAAAGGAAAACAGAGGAUAUUACAUCUAAUCAUGACCGGAAGCGAAAGCAUUUCCGCAUUAGCAAUGCGAAUCCCUGGAUUUGUCUCAUCAGAAGAAAUUGUCCCAACCUUUACUUUUUGUGUAUGUAUUUGUCUUUUGUUGGUUUGGCAAAGCUUGUGCUUGUUACGACACUUGAUAAAGUACUCCAUUUGGACUCGGGCUGUUCCCCCAAAAUGCCAUGUUGUUUCAAAUGCUACUGAGAUCCAGGAUCCUGGGGAAUUUCCACGAACUGUUGAGCCAAAUUAGUAGACUAAUGCGGAAACAAGUAAUUGGUGGCCCACUUGUACUGUGCUUCCCCAGACACAGCGACUUACAGACUCAGGAGACGUCUGCCUUCUGUCAGGACCCAGCAUCACUUCCACCUGGUGGGUGCCAGCUCCCGGGUGACCAGAGGGCUCUUCCCUCUCCCCUCCCUGGUCUUCCUUCCUUCACCGAAAGACUCCUGGAAACACCACGUCAGGAAAUGUGUGUGUGAGAGCCUAUGAGCAUGCGCAUGUGUGCCUGUGAGUACAUGCAUGUGCAUGCCUACAAGCUUGAGUGUGCAAAUAUGUAUGUGUGUGCUUGUGAGUAUGAGUUUGAGAGUGUGUUUGUGUGAGUCUGUGCAUGUGUGUGAGCAUAUGCCUUGU